AAUCUCAGAUGAAGAAAACUCCUGGGUUUGUAGCUUCUGAAGAAUGCAGUGAUCUGUGCAUGUGAUCUCUCCAGAUCUGUUUUUUAUUGGGACACUGAAAGGCUGUGAAUUCAGUGAUUUGCUAGAAACCCUUUCCUGAAGGGUGAAGUUGAGGAGUUUUGCUCGACCUUUGGGAGCCCUCCUGUGUCUUGAACACUCUUCCACAAUAGCGUCUCCAGAAUGGUGGGCUUCCUGAAGGAAGACACGCAGCGAGGAGCCUCCAUCCUCCUGGUGGUAAGUGGGCCGUGGGCACUUUCCUCUCCUGAGGCCUUUCCUGCCCCCAGAAACAUCCCCCAGCCGUAAUUGCACCAGGAAGCCCAGAUUCCUUCUCUGAAGCCUGAGGGCAGAACUGCAGCAGCUGCUUCAAGAGGAAUCGCCCUGCCCUGGCCCACGCAGCCCCGUGGGCAUACAGUUGGCCUGUCUUUCUCUUGGUUUCUCCUGGUAUUCAGCCCCCAGGAAACCUCCUAGGAUCACACAGCUGCGAGGGUCCGCUGUGCUGAGAGUGGCAUUAUAUGUAGAAGUAGGCUCAUACUGGCAGAGCCGGCCAGCUAGUGAGUGGGUUUGUUUAAGUUACAGUGGAAACUGGCACAGAAGGCCCUGAGUGCGGGUGGUUUGAAGUGGAGGUCAGCACACAUACGUCAGCAGACGGUGACAUCCAGAGCUGAUGGAACCAAGUGGCUUAACUGGGCCAGGCCUGGCAUCCUUUUACAGUUCUCACCCCUGGGAGGAAGGCUUUCAUGGGCAUGGCCAGCCUCUCUCCAGGCCUCUUUGCCACCUGCCUCCUGACCUGUACACUGGGCUCCAGCAGGCCCCGGCCUGGGUGCGGCUGCUCUUCAAGGUGGGCCAGCUCUCUUCUCUGCUCCUUACAGACCCUGCAGCCCUCAAGGGGGGCCUUCAUGGGCCUUUCCAGUUCCUAGUUACCAGGGAUUCCCCAAGUUCAGAUGAAGAUCUCCUGGAUGACAUCGUAACGACUCAAAGAACACCUUGCAGCACCAUGUGGAAACAGCUGAGUGCUGGUAGCACAUCCCGGAUGCCCUCAGCAGGUUUGCUUGCCGUGCUCUACGGGACGGACCGCUCUUCACCAUCACCUGGAACAACUCUGGACGGCGACCUCAGCUGCCUUCACGGGCCUCCUUAUGUGAAUUACAAGUAUCUGCUAGGUUAUUUCACAACUGUAGCACCUGCCAUCCGUACCAGAAAGGAAACGGUGCUCCGCUUUCUCAGGGAUGUGUUAACAGGGCCAGGCACCACUCUGCUUUUGUUGUUGUUUGAUUUAUUUUAGUGUUUGUGUGUUUGUCUUUAAAUCAUUUGCACCAGCUCUGUAAACAAUUUAAUGAGUACAUACCUUUUCUUAUGAAAUUCUUUUCAACUUAGCAAAGAAUUAUUUUCCCCUUCAGCCACCAUUCCCAACCCCUCCUCCCCCAACUUAUGAAACAUUUGGUUUUGUUUCGUUUUUUUGCUAAUGUGUUUUGCUAUGUAUUUUCAUCUCUAUUUCUGUCUCACCAUAUAUCUAGCUCUAUUUAUAUCUGUAUAUAUUACAUAUAUAAAGUUACUUCUUUACAUCACUGAACUCCAAGCUGCCGACCUUAGAUUAUACAGUGUCUACAUGCAGUGGGCUGAACUGUGUGCCCCACCAUUUAUUUCAUUUGUCAAAGCCCUACUGCCCCAUGUCACUGUGUUUGGACAUAGAGAUCUUGGGAGGUAAUUAAGUUUAAAUAGGUGGCUUUCUAACUGGUAGGAUUGGUGGUCUUAUAAAGAGAGGAGUAGAAAGAGCUCUCUCUCUCUGUCUGUCUCUCCAUGUGCACACACUAGGAAAGGCCACUUGAGGACACAGCAAAGAGGUGGCUGUCUUUAAGCCCAGUACAGAGCCCUCACCACACCCCACCAUGCUGGCACCCUAGUCUCAGACUUAGAGCCUCCAGAUCUGUAAGAAAUAAUUUUCUAUUGUUUCAGCCAUCAAGCCUGUGGUAUUUGCUGUGGCUACCUGGGCUGACUAAUACACCAUUCAUGGUGAAAUUAUUCAACAUUCUUUCAACAAAUAAGGACUCUAUACACUUGGGGGGAAGUCAUUUAUUUCCACAAUUAGAUGCUGGAGGCAACGAUAAUACUGAAAUACAGUUACUGAACUUUCUAUUUUCUUUUCUUUAGUACAGAUUAGUUUGACCUUUUGCUAUCUCAGGCUCACAAAUUGCUCAAAAUCACAAGGUCUGCAACGAAGCUGUGACAAUAAUUCAAAAGAUUUGUUUUCUUACGCUGGCUCUAUCCAUCUGAUUACAUUGUAACCAAUAUUUGCUUCUGUCCCUGGGGACAAAAACUGUUUUAUAAACUACAAAGAAAUUGCACAGCCAUGGAAGAAAUACGCUUGUCAAAUGGACCAUGUUUUCUCCCCUGCAUAACAAAAAACCCGUAAAACACUCUGUUAUGCUAAAAACAACACCAAGAAAAACAAAGAAAAGAAAGGGAGGCAGUUUCUUCCUGGCACUGAGGAAAUACUGGAGACUGUGAGCUUUCAGACAGUGUGGCAGCCUCCCUUGUAGAGGGCUUAUUCUAACUGGGGCAUGAGGGUGUAAUGACAUUUCCCUCACUUGGGACACUUUUCAAGGACGUAUCAAUGAAUAAAAUCAACUGCAUCAGCAAAGGCAUGGACAUGAAUCAACUCAAAUCGAUCCCUUCUGAAGGCAGAAAACUUGGCAAUCACCAGAUAGCAAUGAUCUGGGUGAGGGUCACUCUCCGGGUGGGCUGCUCACCUUGGGUGUGGGCCACCUCUCUACGUGGAACAGACAGAUGUGUGUGCUCAUGUGGGUUGUCUUUCUGUGGGAUGAAGUAAAAGGGAAGUAUGAAUUACUCUGGAAGUUUUUAGAAGCAAUUGAUUUGCUGUGCGACUGUAAUCAUCUGGCAAAGUGGCCACCCCUGGGGCACUUGGCAGCAGUGUGCAGGUGACCACGAAAUGCCCCCAUUGCCUGGAGUGCACUUCUGUGUCUGGAUGAACAGGUGGCACCAGCACAUUGCCUCCCAAACGUGUCUCCUGUCUGUGCUCCUGACUCCUUGCACACCCGUCCUGCUCUCUGCUGUCCUGGUAAAUCUCACUCCAGAUCAGAGCCACCACCUGUCAUAGGUGGCCCUGUGGGCUCCAAGUAACUAAAGGAAGACAUAAGCUAUCUUUAGAAUGUUUUAUUUUUGUCUACUGGGACUCCAUAGUUGCUGAGAGAGUUGUCAUCUCUGAUU